rnacentral:rRNA from 1 species
CCUACGGGUGGCAGCAGUGAGGAAUAUUGGUCAAUGGACGAGAGUCUGAACCAGCCAAGUAGCGUGAAGGAUGACUGCCCUAUGGGUUGUAAACUUCUUUUAUAUGGGAAUAAAAUGUUCCACGUGUGGGAUUUUGUAUGUACCAUAUGAAUAAGGAUCGGCUAACUCCGUGCCAGCAGCCGCGGUAAUACGGAGGAUCCGAGCGUUAGCCGGAUUUAUUGGGUUUAAAGGGAGCGUAGGUGGAUUGUUAAGUCAGUUGUGAAAGUUUGCGGCUAAACCGUAAAAUUGCAGUUGAAACUGGCAGUCUUGAGUACAGUAGAGGUGGGCGGAAUGCGUGGUGUAGCGGUGAAAUGCUUAGAUAUCACGAAGAACUCCGAUUGCGAAGGCAGUUCACUGGACUGCAACUGACACUGAGGCUCGAAAGUGUGGGUAUCAAACAGGAUUAGAUACCCCAGUAGUC